ensembl:lncRNA
GAGAACAUGGUGACUCCAGCCUUGUGAGAGGAAUCAGAGGACCCAGACGAGUUACACUGUAACCAGACUUCGGAACCAGCCAGGGAGUGAACCCAUGUCCCCUGCAUUGCAAGGUGGAUUCUUAACCACUGGAACCACCUGGGGUUCUUUGGGAGUUGGGUAUUUUCAGAGGGACCUGGACCAUGCUUGCACGACAAUACGCCAUGGAGAGAAAAAUGCCAAAGCAGAUACGCAGCUGGGCAGUGGAGGAGUGGCUCUGUUCCAUGGGGGAGACUGGGUUAUUUCAGAUGACCUCUCUGCACCCCUGAACACCAUGAGAGACUUUAGCUACCUCGCUCAGGUUCAUCUGGCCCUGAUCCCCAGACCACCUGUAGGUAUUCUCAUGACCCUGACUGUAGUCCAUAGCUUAACAGAGAGAUUCAGGGGAAAUCAGUGCCGCCAACUACAUCCAUUUUGAUCUGCUCCUAAGCCCUCCACUGGGAACAUCACCAAUAUGGCAAACAUCUUGAAAAGGUCCAUUUCUGUGCCUCCUUGCCGAGGGUUUCCAGGGUCUCGGGGUCCAUCGAAAGUGACGAGUUGUUUUGAGUUGUGUCCAGUAUUUUCACAGUAUGUUUCUUCGCCACAAAGAUUUUUGCCCUGAACAUUUUCACUGCAUAAGUAAUUGGCCAUAAAGCAAUUGCGUCAUAAGAGGAAAAAUAACUGGCUGACAGUUUGGUUUGAAGUAUACAGUACAAAGAUCACGACAGAUAACAGUGAUUUGUCCUGAGAGUUGAUUUCUUUAUUUUGAAACACUGGAGGAGAAAGAGGCCUUGAGGGCACAGGGUCGAGCCCUCAUUUUCCAUAGAACUUUGGAACAUUUCUCCGUGGACACACGACAAUAUGCCAAGGACAUACAAUGGUGUAGAGGCUUUCACAGCUCAAUAAAGCUCAGUUGCAAACAUGCAUCCUGUGUUGGGAAACUGAUACCUCUUUCUACCUUUUUAAAAAGUUUUUAAUUUUUUAUUUAUUUUUGGCUGUGCUGGGUCUUCAUUGCUGUGCAUGAUGCUAUAGUAGGGUAAUGG